AUGUUUUAUCAUAGAGACAUCAGAAAGCCUGAUGACGGUGAGACUGUUGAAGCUGUGGUUGUUCUCAGGUUAGUUAGAAUACCUCUACUACAUCUCUAUAGUCUACUCUGUCCUGGAUCAGUUUGCCUUGCUCUUCCUUUUAGUCAUGCUCAUCAUAAUCUCACUUUUAGUGACCAAGGAGGUGAGCCAGGAGAGGAGAGCAGGCAGCCCAUGGACAAUGAAGAGACAGGCGCUGACAACCCUCUGCUGAAUGGAGAUGCCAGUGGCCAAGGAGAGGAAGGUGUUCUAGGAAUGGAGGAUGGAAAGCUGUCAGACAAGGACAGAGCAGACACUGAAAUCUGUCAGAAGACACAUGCUGAUUCCCCUCCACUGAAUGUACCCAAGGUUGUCAGGGUUAACAGCCAGACUGAUGACACACAGCUUCUUGGUCAACCUCAGAGCAAUGGACAUGUGCCAUAUAGAAGGGUUAACGAUGAGACUAAGGAAGCAACUCCUGGUGCACAGAGUCCAGGACCUCCUCAGAUGAAUGGAGGUCCUCCCAUGUCUGACAGGUGAUAUUGUAACUAUUGCUAAAGUAACACUGUUCUGAGCUUUUUCUCCACUGUAUUUGAAUUGAAGGUACAGGAUUGUAUAAUAACCAUGUUUUUACCCAUGUUUCCUGAACCAGCCUGUCUUACUGUGUUCUGUGUCUAAGGUUGGAGAACAACCCUGUUGGUCAGCGCAUGAAGAAAACUGCUCUGGUGAACAAGCAGGACCAGGACUGGUCAGCAACGGCAUGUAGCCAGUUGAAAAUAUAUAGUAUAUAAGAUGAAACUAAGUGUAAAUAUAACAUUAUAUACACUGUAAUAUAGAACAGUAUAAUAUGACAUGAUAUACACUGUAAUAUAGAACAGUAUAAAAUAACAUGAUAUACACUGUAAUAUAAAACAGUAUAAUAUAAUAUGACAUGAUAUACACUGUAAUAUAGAACAGUAUAAUAUGACAUGAUAUACACUGUAAUAUAGAACAGUAUAAUAUGACAUGAUAUACACUGUAAUAUAGAACAGUAUAAUAUGACAUUAUAUACACUGUAAUAUAGAACAGUAUAAUAUGACAUGAUAUACACUGUAAUAUAGAACAGUAUAAUAUGACAG
rnacentral:lncRNA from 1 species